rnacentral:lncRNA from 1 species
UUAUCUUUGUGAAUUCUCACACGAAGCUUGUUUAUUAGAUAGCAACUCUUAUUUGAUAUUAACCACAAUCUUUGGUAAGUCUCAGCAUCUAGAAGUCAAGUGACUUCCCCAGUUUCUUUUCAGAGCUGGAGCCCCACUGCCUGAGGUGCUACAGCCACCUGGCAUUCAGGACCUCCCCAACUCAAAUAAAACCCAGGAUGGCAAAUGAUGCAGGAUGAGGAGGUCUAUUCCACCUCCCUAAGCUGGCAAGUAUUGUCAAAAUUCGUGAGAACCCAGCUGAAGCCAACAGCAUUCUAGUCUACAGUAGUACCAGUAGGUCUAAAAAUAAGGCUGUAAAUAAGGGGAACCAGAGUUACACUUGCUCUGACAACACCUCUGGCUGUCACCAGAAAUCAUCCACCUCCUUGGAGAGUCAACUGCCAUUAAAUGAAAACAGCACUCUCAUCCUUUGGAAAGUGCAGAGGCUCCUGAAACUCAUUUGGGCACCCUGAGGACACAUCAGAGGAAAGAUUAGCCCUCCAGCCACCUGCAGCAAUGCAUCAGCAGGGUGAAAAGAACAAAUACCAGCGAGAAGAGUUUUAUGGGCCAGCCCCAGACACAGCCAGGGAUACCUGAAUCACAGCUUUCCAGUGGGCAGCACCACUCCUCCUCUCCACCUCCUCCACAAGCAUAAGCAGAGGACUUCAAAACCCCCAAAUGUGAAGAGUUCAGCAGGUAAUGUCCCUGACUGCAGGACAUUUAUGCUCAGUUCUAUUUCCAAAACAGGCUCCAUCUCAGCUUCAAAGCAUAGAGGGAGGCCAGGAGAAAGCCACAGGAUCAUGCAGGUUUCAAGGAAAGGAGGCUGUAGAUGGUACCUCUGUUAUCUCUGUGCUCUCACCUCCCUUAAACAGAAAUAAUCCUUCCUGAUGACUCCACACCUCUCAAGUCCCACCCUCUGGCUUUCUUCUUUCCCAGCCUCACUUGGACUAAGGCAGAUUUCUUCUAAUAUUCAGCUCUACAAGACCUAUUUUACAUCAAUGAUUUCCUAUUAUUUUAUAAUACAAAUACAUAAAAAUGGUAAAAGCUGUUGUCAAGACUUACACCAUUCGAAGACCACGAUUACACACAGUACUCAGGUGAUUGUGCCACAUGAAGACUGAAGGCCUAAAAGAGAAAUCUUUCUCUUGGAGCCCUGUCAACAUCUUCAUGUCAGAGAGGUGAAAAACCAAGCCUGGACAGAUGAACCAACUUUCCCAAAGCUGUUCUGGAGUCUCAGGAAGCAGAGCCAGGAGUAGGGCUCCAGUCUCCACACCACCAGGGUUUAACCCCAGAGCCCAAAGGUGCUGCCCACACUGUCUGGAUUUGGAUGUGCCAUGAGGUGCUGGGCUUGACAGGCAAAAUCACAGACAUUUCCUCUGUGCUGGAGGGAAUUCAGCCCUCUGUGCUGGAGGGAAUUCAGCCCUAAAUCUCCCAGAUAAGAGAUGAGCUAAAACCACCAAUAAACCUUUCAGCCAAUUAACA